rnacentral:rRNA from 1 species
GCAGUGGAGUAUGUGGUUUAAUUCGAAGCAACGCGAAGAACCUUACCAGGGCUUGACAUCCCUUGAAGCAGCUAGAGAUAGCUGUGUCCUUCGGGACAAGGAGACAGGUGGUGCAUGGUUGUCGUCAGCUCGUGUCGUGAGAUGUUGGGUUAAGUCCCGCAACGAGCGCAACCCCUGUGGUUAGUUGCCAGCAAGUAGCGUUGGGCACUCUAGCCAGACUGCCGGUGAUAAAUCGGAGGAAGGUGGGGACGACGUCAAAUCAUCAUGCCCUUUAUGUCCUGGACUACACACGUACUACAAUGGCCGUUACAACGGGAAGCGAAGGAGCAAUCCGGAGCAAAUCCCUUAAAGGUGGUCCCAGUUCAGAUUGUGGGCUGAAACUCGCCCACAUGAAGGCGGAAUUGCUAGUAAUUGCAGAUCAGCAUGCUGCAGUGAAUACGUUCCCGGGCCUU